AUUGAACGCUAGCGGCAUGCUUAACACAUGCAAGUCGAACGGCAGCGCGGGUAGCUUGCUACCUGGCGGCGAGUGGCGGACGGGUGAGUAAUGCGUAGGAAUCUACCUUAUAGUGGGGGAUAACCCGGGGAAACUCGGGCUAAUACCGCAUAAUCUCUACGGAGCAAAGCGGGGGACCUUCGGGCCUCGUGCUAUAAGAUGAGCCUACAUCGGAUUAGCUAGUUGGUGGGGUAAAGGCCUACCAAGGCGACGAUCCGUAGCUGGUCUGAGAGGACGAUCAGCCACACUGGGACUGAGACACGGCCCAGACUCCUACGGGAGGCAGCAGUGGGGAAUAUUGGACAAUAGGGGAAACCCUGAUCCAGCAAUGCCGCGUGUGUGAAGAAGGCCUUCGGGUUGUAAAGCACUUUCAGUGGGGAAGAAAGAACCAAAAUUAAUACUUUUGGGUGCUGACGUUACCCACAGAAGAAGCACUGGCUAACUCUGUGCCAGCCGCCGCCGUAA
rnacentral:rRNA from 1 species